rnacentral:rRNA from 1 species
GACGAACGCUGGCGGCGUGCCUAAUACAUGCAAGUCGAACGCAGUGGGGACGGGGGAGUAACACGUGGGUAACCUCCCAUCAGAGGGGAUAACACUUGGCAACAGGUGCUAAACCGAUACGGAUGGAGGGACCCGCGGUGCAUUAGCUAGUUGGUGGGGUAACGGCCCACCAAGGCCACGAUGCAUAGCCGACCUGAGAGGGUGAUCGGCCACACUGGAACUGAGACACGGCCCAGACUCCUACGGGAGGCAGCAGUAGGGAAUCUUCGGCAAUGGGCGCAAGUCUGACCGAGCCAUGCCGCGUGUAUGAAGAAGGUUUUCGGAUCGUAAAGCUCUGUUGUUAGAGAAGCGGUAUCUAACCAGAAAGCCACGGCUAACUACGUGCCAGCCGCCGCGGUAAUAC